rnacentral:rRNA from 1 species
AUGAACGCUGGCGGCGUGCCUAACACAUGCAAGUCGAACGAUGAAACCGCCCUCGGGCGGACAUGAAGUGGCGAACGGGUGAGUAACACGUGACCAACCUGCCCCUUGCUCCGGGACAACCUUGGGAAACCGAGGCUAAUACCGGAUACUCCUCGCCCCCCUCCUGGGGGGCCCGGGAAAGCCCAGACGGCAAGGGAUGGGGUCGCGGCCCAUUAGGUAGUAGGCGGGGUAACGGCCCACCUAGCCCGCGAUGGGUAGCCGGGUUGAGAGACCGACCGGCCACAUUGGGACUGAGAUACGGCCCAGACUCCUACGGGAGGCAGCAGUGGGGAAUUUUGCGCAAUGGGGGAAACCCUGACGCAGCAACGCCGCGUGCGGGACGACGGCCUUCGGGUUGUAAACCGCUUUCAGCAGGGAAGAAAUUCGACGGUACCUGCAGAAGAAGCUCCGGCUAACUACGUGCCAGCAGCCGCGGUAAUACGUAGGGAGCGAGCGUUAUCCGGAUUCAUUGGGCGUAAAGAGCGCGUAGGCGGCCUCUCAAGCGGGAUCUCUAAUCCGAGGGCUCAACCCCCGGCCGGAUCCCGAACUGGGAGGCUCGAGUUCGGUAGAGGCAGGCGGAAUUCCCGGUGUAGCGGUGGAAUGCGCAGAUAUCGGGAAGAACACCGAUGGCGAAGGCAGCCUGCUGGGCCGCAACUGACGCUGAGGCGCGAAAGCUAGGGGAGCGAACAGGAUUAGAUACCCUGGUAGUCCUAGCCGUAAACGAUGGAUACUAGGUGUGGGGGGCUCCGCCCUCCGUGCCGCAGCCAACGCAUUAAGUAUCCCGCCUGGGGAGUACGGCCGCAAGGUUGAAACUCAAAGGAAUUGACGGGGGCCCGCACAAGCAGUGGAGUAUGUGGUUUAAUUCGACGCAACGCGAAGAACCUUACCAAGUCUUGACAUCCUGCGACGAUGCUGGAAACAGUAUUUUCCUUCGGGACGCAGAGACAGGUGGUGCAUGGUUGUCGUCAGCUCGUGUCGUGAGAUGUUGGGUUAAGUCCCGCAACGAGCGCAACCCUUAUUGCCAGUUACUACGUUAAGAGGACUCUGGCGAGACUGCCGUUGACAAAACGGAGGAAGGUGGGGAUGACGUCAAAUCAUCAUGCCCCUUAUGACCUGGGCUACACACGUACUACAAUGGCGUUAAACAAAGAGAAGCAAGACCGCGAGGUGGAGCAAAACUCAAAAACAACGUCUCAGUUCAGAUUGCAGGCUGCAACUCGCCUGCAUGAAGUCGGAAUUGCUAGUAAUCGCGGAUCAGCAUGCCGCGGUGAAUACGUUCCCGGGCCUUGUACACACCGCCCGUCACACCAUGAGAGCCGGGGGGACCCGAAGUCGGUAGUCUAACCGCAAGGAGGACGCCGCCGAAGGUAAAACUGGUGAUUGGGGUG